rnacentral:misc_RNA from 1 species
GGAAUAUUGGUCAAUGGGCGGGAGCCUGAACCAGCCAAGUAGCGUGCAGGAUGGCGGCCCUAUGGGUUGUAAACUGCUUUUGUAUGGGGAUAAAGUCAAUCACGCGUGAUUGUUUGCAGGUACCAUACGAAUAAGGACCGGCUAAUUCCGUGCCAGCAGCCGCGGUAAUACGGAAGGUCCGGGCGUUAUCCGGAUUUAUUGGGUUUAAAGGGAGCGUAGGCCGGAGAUUAAGUGUGUUGUGAAAUGUAGACGCUCAACGUCUGACUUGCAGCGCAUACUGGUUUCCUGGAGUACGCACAACGUUGGCGGAAUUCGUCGUGUAGCGGUGAAAUGCUUAGAUAUGACGAAGAACUCCGAUUGCGAAGGCAGCUGACGGGAGCGCAACUGACGCUUAAGCUCGAAGGUGCGGGUAUCGAACAGGA